CCUACGGGAGGCAGCAGUGGGGAAUCUUGCACAAUGGAGGAAACUCUGAUGCAGCGAUGCCGCGUGAGUGAAGAAGGCCUUUGGGUUGUAAAGCUCUUUUGUAGGGGAAGAUAAUGACUGUACCCUAAGAAUAAGGUCCGGCUAACUUCGUGCCAGCAGCCGCGGUAAUACGAAGGGACCUAGCGUAGUUCGGAAUUACUGGGCGUAAAGCGCGCGUAGGCCGUUGAGUUAGUUAAUUGUGAAAUCCCAAAGCUUAACUUUGGAACUGCAAUUAAAACUGCUCGACUAGAGUUUGAUAGAGGAAAGCGGAAUACAUAGUGUAGAGGUGAAAUUCGUAGAUAUUAUGUAGAACACCAGUUGCGAAGGCGGCUUUCUGGAUCAACACUGACGCUGAGGCGCGAAAGUAUGGGUAGCAAAGAGGAUUAGAUACCCUCGUAGUCCAUACCAUAAACGAUGAUUGCUAGAUGUUGGAAAUUUAUUUUCAGUAUCGCAGCUAACGCAUUAAGCAAUCCGCCUGGGGAGUACGACCGCAAGGUUAAACUCAAAGGAUUGAACGGNUGNGAGUGCGAGCGCACGAGGAGAGG
rnacentral:rRNA from 1 species